rnacentral:sRNA from 1 species
UUUUAUAACAGAUAGGGGCCUAUAGAACUAUAUACAUCUAGAUUAAAUAUCUAGAAUUUAGAAAAGUUGACAAUCAUCACUGUGAUCACAAAAUGAUAAUCCUGUUUUGUUUAUUAUGGCGACUUCCGGAACUGUUGUUGUUUAUUCUAAAAUUAAGUCAGCAUCCAAGAUUAGCAAGCAUAUAAGAAUGUGGCAGUGAUCAGGGAGGGCAUCAGUCUGGUUUUAGUGUCCAUGGCUUUGAUUUAGUCCAGAUUGUUUUGAGUUUUGCAAGUGCUGCUGAUGGCUGUAUAAUUUUGGCCAGUAGAUCAGGAAAAUAAGUUAUUUUAGUUAAUAUUUAGUCGCACACAUGAUGACUGAUACAAAGCAUGACUUUACUCUUGAUCUGAACCAUGUCUUAAAACAUGUGAA